rnacentral:rRNA from 1 species
UGGGGGACCUUCGGGCCUCACGUUAUCGGAUGAGCCUACGUAGGAUUAGCUAGUUGGUAGGGUAAAGGCCUACCAAGGCGACGAUCCUUAGCUGGUCUGAGAGGAUGAUCAGCCACACUGGGACUGAGACACGGCCCCAGACUCCUACGGGAGGCAGCAGUGGGGAAUAUUGCGCAAUGGGCGGAAGCCUGACGCAGCCAUGCCGCGUGUGUGAAGAAGGCCUUCGGGUUGUAAAGCACUUUCAAUUGGGAAGAAAAGUUUGUCGUUAAUAGCGACAAGCCCUGACAUUACCUUUAGAAGAAGCACCGGCUAACUCCGUG